UCCUACGGGAGGCAGCAGUGGGGAAUAUUGCACAAUGGGCGCAAGCCUGAUGCAGCCAUGCCGCGUGUAUGAAGAAGGCCUUCGGGUUGUAAAGUACUUCAGCGGGGAGGAAGGGUUGUAGUAUACCUAGCCAUGACGUACCCCAAAAAGCCCAAGCCCC
rnacentral:rRNA from 1 species